rnacentral:rRNA from 1 species
UCCUACGGGAGGCAGCAGUGGGGAAUAUUGGGCAAUGGGGGGAACCCUGACCCAGCGACGCCGCGUGAGGGAAGAAGGUUUUCGGAUUGUAAACCUCUGUCCUUGGUGACGAUAAUGACGGUAGCCAAGGAGGAAGCCACGGCUAACUACGUGCCAGCAGCCGCGGUAAUACGUAGGUGGCGAGCGUUGUCCGGAAUUACUGGGUGUAAAGGGCGUGUAGGCGGGACUGCAAGUCAGAUGUGAAACCCAUGGGCUCAACCCAUGGCCUGCAUUUGAAACUGUAGUUCUUGAGUGAUGGAGAGGCA